GAUGAACGCUGGCGGCGUGCUUAACACAUGCAAGUCGAACGAUGAAGCCGGAGCUUGCUCUGGUGAAUUAGUGGCGAACGGGUGAGUAACACAUGAGUAACCUGCCCUUGACUCUGGGAUAACUGCUAGAAAUGGUAGCUAAUACCGGAUACGACCCUCGGAGGCAUCUCCAGGGGGUGGAAAGAAUUUCGGUCAAGGAUGGACUCGCGGCCUAUCAGCUAGUUGGUGAGGUAACGGCUCACCAAGGCGACGACGGGUAGCCGGCCUGAGAGGGUGACCGGCCACACUGGGACUGAGACACGGCCCAGACUCCUACGGGAGGCAGCAGUGGGGAAUAUUGCACAAUGGGCGCAAGCCUGAUGCAGCGACGCCGCGUGAGGGAUGAAGGUCUUCGGAUUGUAAACCUCUUUCAGUAGGGACGAAGCGAAAGUGACGGUACCUAAAGAAGAAGCACCGGCUAACUACGUGCCAGCAGCCGCCGUAA
rnacentral:rRNA from 1 species